UUUUUUCUUUUUCUGUUUGUAUUGUUCAUACACCGUUGUCAAUUUAAUUGCAUUGUAUUCGACUGUCAUAUAAGUGAGAGGUUUAGCUAGCUAUUAAAACAAGGUUUACUCCUCAAUUAUUUACAUAAGAAAAUGCCCGUAACAAGGCAGGAGUAUGGCAGUUGUUAUCCAUUCGUUUGAUGUGUUUCAGCUUUUGAUUUCGCAUUUUGGUUAGGGAAUUUGCAUUUCGAAUUUUCCUAGGAGUUCAGUAUUUUUGUGAUUUUACAUUUUUCAAGUAGCUGCUCGAUUGUAAAACAAUAUCUACAUGAAACAAUGACAAUAAAAAGUAUGCCAAAGUUUCAAGUGUGGAGCUAGCAACAUUUGAUGUCUGAAUCUCUGAAUAAAUUAUCUACGAAAUGGAAAAUGGACGAGGUAAAUAUAGUAGCUUAAAAGGUUUAAUUAGCGAUAGAUCUGCGAGGGAAUAUUCAACAUAUCACGUCAAUGUAUAAAAUUGUAAGAAUAAACCAAUUCAUUCGAGAAACAAAAUUAUGAUAACAUCCGGAAACUAUACUUUCCGUGUUUAAGUAUUCAC
rnacentral:lncRNA from 1 species